UAUGAAUACUGAUAUUGAUCUGAAUAUUGAUUGUUUGAGAAAGUGCAUUUUUAUUGCUGUUGGUUAGCGCGUUUUUCUUGACGCAUGAGAAAGUGAAAAACGGGUUUCAUUUUUUAGAUUUGGUUUUGUUAAUGCGUUUAUAAAUUUACCUCUAGGAUUUUGUCAGUAUCGCGACAGCAGUGAGCAAAUAUCUGGCAUAUAUUUGCGAUCGCCCGACAAACAAUUUGAAUCGUAACUAUUUUGACUGGUGUUUAUAAAAUAUAAGUUCAAACGAAUCAAACUCGCUCAAUGUCUUCUCUAGGAUUCACACUUCUUUCUGCGGUUUGCCGAGUGUUGCACUUGUUACUAGAUCUAUUGUUCUUGUUUUUACGCAGGCCGUUGAAAAAAGACAUAUUAAUGGCAAAGUAAUUGAUGUUAUUGAGGUGGAAGAGGACAUUAUUACGGUGCAUUUUUUUUCUUCGAAAUAUACCACCCAUUUUUGACAAUAUGUCAAAAAAACAUUUUUAUGUUCUCACACAUUUGUACAGAAUAUCUAUUACAUCCUACAUUGUCUAAAUUAACUUUUGUAAAGUCAUCGUUAAACCGAAAGUAGUGUUUUAAAAAAAACCUCAACGAUGAAGAGCUUAAAGCAAUAAAGCGCCAUACCAACAAACAAUGUCUGUUUUUUUCUACAAGUUAAACCAGUUUUAUUAAUUGCAUACUUACUGACAAGAACUUAGUCAAAAAGUUUGGUAUAAUUUUUUAUUUUUUAAACAGAAAGAACAAAGAUCUUUCUUCAAGCGACUUUUAAAAAAACAUAAUUCGUGUUAUUAUCCCACAACUGAACUAAUUUUAUUUUUUACCUAGUUUUCAAAUAAUUCUUUUCUCUUUUUUAAAACGUGGCAGUAUCGUACAGUUCGAAGAAAAGUGAAACUUUUUUACGGUAUAUCUUGUAAUCUCAACGAUGAAGACUUGCGUAUUAUUUUGGAUAGCGCUGUUUCUCUGUUUGCGUAUUACAGCAAUUCAAGCAUUCUGUCGGACCAUUCCUGUUCCCCAAGUGCGACCUCCGUGUUGGGCUGUUCAAAUUACAGGACCAGUGGCAUGUAAUGGUUUCUGCUACAUUUACCUUUAGUAAAAAAUUGUUACGUUUUUUUGUUGUUUAUUGAAUUGCGUUUUAUAGAAAAAGAUUUAAGAUGUAAAGUAAUUUGUAUAUUGUGUUAGGCCUUAACGCGUCAUGUUACGCUCCAUAACUAAGAGUCUGUUUGGACUGAAUCGAGAUAAGGUAAUUUUGAAAUAUGUUACACAAUCAAAAGUGUUUAGAAUUUAAAUACGUGUUUUAUUUUCUGAGGAAAAAAUGUAUCUUAAAUAUCUGUUGCACGAUUUUCAAUAAUAAAUGCGCCUUUCUACACCA